UACGUAGGGGGCAAGCGUUGUUCGGAAUUACUGGGCGUAAAGGGCGUACAGGCGGUUGUGUAAGUCGGUUGUGAAAUUCUUGGGCUCAACCUGAGACUUGCGUCCGAAACUACAUGACUUGAGAUCAGGAGAGGAGAGUGGAAUAUGUGGUGUAGCGGUGAAAUGCGUAGAUAUCACAUAGAACACCGGUGGCGAAGGCGGCUCUCUGGCCUGAUUCUGACGCUGACGCGCGAAAGCUAGGGUAGCGAACGGGAUUAGAUACCCCGGUAGUCCUAGCCGUAAACGAUGGGUACUAAGUGUAGGAGGUAUCGACCCCUUCUGUGCUGUAGCAAACGCAUUAAGUACCCCGCCUGGGGACUACGGCCGCAAGGCUAAAACUCAAAGUAAUUGACGGGGGCCCGCACAAGCGGUGGAGCAUGUCGCUCAAUUCGAAGCAACGCGAAGAACCUUAUCCAGUGGCUUGACAUCCUCUGACAACCGUGGAAACACGGCUUUCUCUUAUGAGACAGAGUGACAGGUGCUGCAUGGCAGUCGUCAGCUCGUGUCGUGAGAUGUUGGGUUAAGUCCCGCAACGAGCGCAACCCUUAUCUCUAGUUGCCAGCGGGUUAUGCCGGGGACUCUAGAGAGACUGCCGACGAUAAGUCGGAGGAAGGUGGGGAUGACGUCAUGUCCUCAUGGCCCUUAUGCCCUGGGCUGCACACGUGCUACAAUGGCCGGUACAGCGGGUUGUGAAACCGCGAGGUGGAACUAAUCCCUAAAAGCCGGUCUCAGUUGGGAUUGUAGUCUGCAACUCGACUACAUGAACGUGGAAUCGCUAGUAAUCGCGGAUCAGCACGCCGCGGUGAAUACGUUCCACGGGCCU
rnacentral:rRNA from 1 species